rnacentral:lncRNA from 10 species
UCCAUGAAAAUUCACUCUGGGUCAGAAAUCAAUCUUUGGAGUUCUGAACAUGCAGCUUUUCUCAUGGGCCUUUUGGAGAACAAUCAGCUACUCAGCCAUCAGAGCCUUUUUUGCUGGAUGGCAGGCAGGAACUGACAGCAAACCAUCGUCUCUACAACACGCAGAAGAUCAGCACCAAGUCUCCAUUCUCCGAAAACAUGUGUCCAUGCAGCUCUCCCAGGGGAGGUCUGCGCUGCAGUGGAAGGCCCCAGGAGCGUGGGAGCCAGCUCAUCGCAUGAAGGAAACACAGAGUUGUACCUCCAGGUGCCAGGCGGAGCGGCGACGUGACGCACGGUGGACGAGGAGCCAGGAUGCCCAGCUCUGCUACCAACACAGAGUGGGAAUUUGCACACCUCACAUGGUGUCAGUUUCCAAAUGCUGCUGUAAUCAAUUUCCACAAAGUGGUGGCUUAGAAAAACAGACAUGUAUUCGCUGACAGUUCUGGAGCCCAGAAGCCUGAAACCAACGUGAGGGUUCUAGGGGAAGAUCCUCAUUUGCCCCCUCCCAAUUUGGUAGUUCUGGGUGUUCCUUGGCUUGUGG